GGAGUCUGGUCCGUGUCUCAGUACCAGUGUGGGGGACCUUCCUCUCAGAACCCCUACCGAUCGUAGCCACGGUGGGCCGUUACCCCGCCGUCAAGCUAAUCGGACGCAUCCCCAUCCCAUGGCGUCAAACUUUAGUGCUCCUCAGAUGUCCUCAAAGCACAACAUAGGGUGUUAAUCCGCAUUUCUACGGGCUAUGCCCUACCAGGGGGAAGGUUGGAUACGCGUUACUCACCCGUGCGCCGGUCGCCAUCACAGAUAGCAAGCUACCUGCAUGCUGCCCCUCGACUUGCAUGUGUUAAGCCUGUAGCUAGCGUUCAUC
rnacentral:rRNA from 1 species